rnacentral:rRNA from 1 species
UACAGAGGAGCCAAGCGUUGUCCGGAUUUACUGGGCGUAAAGGGCGUGCAGGCGGUUUGUUAAGUCUAGGGUGAAAGCUCCCGGCUCAACUGGGAGAGGUCCUUGGAUACUGGCAGACUUGAGGAGGGUAGAGGAGAGUGGAAUUCCCGGUGUAGUGGUGAUAUGCGUAGAUAUCGGGAGGAACACCAGUGGCGAAGGCGGCUCUCUGGGCCCUACCUGACGCUGAGACGCGAAAGCGUGGGGAGCGAACCGG